rnacentral:rRNA from 1 species
CAUGCAAGUCGAGCGAGAAAGUGACUUCGGUUGCGAGUAAAGCGGCGAACGGGUGAGUACAACGUGGAUAAUCUACCCUAGGGUCUGGGACAACCCCGAGAAAUCGGAGCUAAUACCGGAUGAGACCACAGUAUCCAAGGAUACAGUGGUAAAAGAUUUAUCGCCUUUGGAUGAGUCCACGUCCCAUCAGGUAGUUGGUAAGGUAAAAGCUUACCAAGCCUAAGACGGGUAGCCGGCCUUAGCGGGUGAACGGCCACAUGGGGACUGAGACACGGCCCUGACUCCUACGGGAGGCAGCAGUGGGGAAUAUUGGGCAAUGGGCGAAAGCCUGACCCAGCGAUGCCGCGUGAGGGAUGAAGGCCUUCGGGUUGUAAACCUCUGUCAGGAGGGACGAUGGGACACUUGUGUCUUGACGGUACCUCCAGAGGAAGCCCCGGCUAACUCCGUGCCAGCAGCCGCGGUAAUACGGAGGGGGCAAGCGUUGCUCGGAAUUACUGGGCGUAAAGGGUCCGCAGGCUGUCAGGCAAGUUGGUUGUGAAAGCUCAAGGCUUAACCUUGGAAUUGCAUCCAAAACUGCCUGACUAGAGUCCAAGAGAGGUUGGCGGAAUUCCCGGUGUAGCGGUGAAAUGCAUAGAUAUCGGGAGGAACACCAGAGGCGAAGGCGGCCAACUGGCUUGGAACUGACG